GGCGGAGCAUGCGGAUUAAUUCGAUGCAACGCGAAGAACCUUACCAAGGCUUGACAUGGACCGGUAAUACCUGGAAACAGGUGCCCCGCUUGCGGUCGGUUCACAGGUGGUGCAUGGUUGUCGUCAGCUCGUGUCGUGAGAUGUUGGGUUAAGUCCCGCAACGAGCGCAACCCUCGUUCUAUGUUGCCAGCACGUGAUGGUGGGGACUCAUAGGAGACUGCCGGGGUCAACUCGGAGGAAGGUGGGGACGACGUCAAAUCAUCAUGCCCCUUAUGUCUUGGGCUUCACGCAUGCUACAAUGGCCGGUACAAAGGGUUGCGAUACUGUGAGGUGGAGCUAAUCCCAAAAAGCCGGUCUCAGUUCGGAUUGGGGUCUGCAACUCGACCCCAUGAAGUCGGAGUCGCUAGUAAUCGCAGAUCAGCAACGCUGCGGUGAAUACGUUCCCGGGCCUUGUACACACCGCCCGUCAAGUCACGAAAGUUGGUAACACCCGAAGCCGGUGGCCUAACCCCUUGUGGGAGGGAGCUGUCGAAGGUGGGA
rnacentral:rRNA from 1 species